ACACACACACACACACACACACGCAGAGAGACACGGUUGCCACAGCAACUGUGUCAUUAUGUUGGUGGCAAUUAUGAAAGCGAUGAAAACGGGGAAGGGGAGAGGAUUGGCGCAAAAAGCUCCAACACUGGAGCGAGAACGAAACUGUCAAUUAGACUCAGACCUACACUGACAAGCAGGAGGAGGAGGAGGUGCAGGAGGAGAAAGAAGAGGUGCAGGAGGAGGAGAAGAUGGAAGAAGAACAGGAGGAGAAGGAGGGGGUGCAUAAGGAGAAGGUGGCAGAAAAAGAACAAGAGAAGGAGGAGGUGAAGCAGGAGGUGCAGUAGAACCAGGAGAUGGAGGAGUAGGAAUAGGAGCAGGGAAUGGAGGAGGAGCAGGAGGCAAAGCAAGAGGAGAAGAAGCACAAGUAUGUGGAUGUGCAGGAGGACAAGGUGGAAGAAAAAGAACAAGAGGAGAAGGAGGAGGUGAUGCAGGAGGAGAAGAAACAGGUGCAGGAGGAGAAGGAUGAGGUGAAACAGGAAGUUUAAGUAUAACCAGCAGUAAGCAGGAGGUGCAGUAGAACUAGGAGGUGCAGGAGGAGAAGCAGGAGAAGGAGCAGGAGGUGGAGGUGCAGGAGAAGGCAGUGGACAUGAAGCAGGAGGAGAAGGUGCAAGAAGAACAGGAGUGGGUGAAGCAAAACAAGAUUCAGGAGGAGGUGAAGCAGGAGAAGAAGGAAGCGGUGCAGGAGGUGCAAUUGAACCAGGAGGUGCAGGAGGUGGAAGAAGAAUAGGAGGUGAAGUCGGAGGUGCAGCAGGAGGAGGAGAAGCAGGAGGAAAAACAGGAGGUGGAGGUGCCGGAAGAGUAGAAGGAGGAACAUGGAA
ensembl:lncRNA